rnacentral:rRNA from 1 species
GUGGGGAAUCUUCCGCAAUGGACGAAAGUCUGACGGAGCGACGCCGCGUGAGUGAAGAAGGCCUUCGGGUCGUAAAGCUCUGUCAUCAGGGACGAAUGGCCGGUGGAGUGGAAAGCCACCGGAUUGACGGUACCUGAGAAGGAAGCCACGGCUAACUACGUGCCAGCAGCCGCGGUAAUACGUAGGUGGCAAGCGUUGUCCGGAAUUAUUGGGCGUAAAGCGCGCGCAGGUGGGAUCUUAAGUCUGUUCUGAAAGUUCGGAGCUUAACUCCGUGAUGGGAUGGAAACUGGGAUUCUUGAGUAUCGGGGAGGAAAGCGGAAUUCCCCGUGUAGCGGUGAAAUGCGUAGAUAUGGGGAGGAACACCAGUGGCGAAGGCGGCUUUCUGGACGGUGUCUGACACUGAGGCGCGAAAGCUAGGGGAGCGAACGGGAUUAGAAACCCCAGUAGUCC